GCGAAACCGCGAGGUCAAGCAAAUCCCAUAAAGUUGUUCUCAGUUCGGAUUGUAGUCUGCAACUCGACUACAUGAAGCUGGAAUCGCUAGUAAUCGUAGAUCAGCAUGCUACGGUGAAUACGUUCCCGGGUCUUGUACACACCGCCCGUCACACCACGAGAGUUUGUAACACCCGAAGCCGGUGGAGUAACCUUUUAGGAGCUAGCCGUCGAAGGUGGGACAAAUGAUUGGGGUGAAGUCGUAACAAGGUAGCCGUAUCGGAAGGUGCGGCUGGAUCACCUCCUUUCUAAGGA
rnacentral:rRNA from 1 species